AGUGAACGCUGGCGGUAGGCCUAACACAUGCAAGUCGAACGGCAGCACAGUAAGAGCUUGCUCUUACGGGUGGCGAGUGGCGGACGGGUGAGGAAUACAUCGGAAUCUACUUUUUGUUGGGGAUAACGUAAGGAAACUUACGCUAAUACCGCAUACGACCUACGGGUGAAAGCACUGGAUUUUCGGACCUUUCGCUAUUUAAUUAGCCGAUGUCGGAUUAGCUAGUUUGCGGGGUAAAGGCCCACCAAGGCGACGAUCCGUAGCUGGUCUGAGAGGAUGAUCAGCCACACUGGAACUGAGACACGGUCCAGACUCCUACGGGAGGCAGCAGUGGGGAAUAUUGGACAAUGGGCGCAAGCCUGAUCCAGCCAUACCGCGUGGGUGAAGAAGGCCUUCGGGUUGUAAAGCCCUUUUGUUGGGAAAGAAAAGCAGCAGGUUAAUACCCCGCUGUUCUGACGGUACCCAAAGAAUAAGCACCGGCUAACUUCGUG
rnacentral:rRNA from 1 species